UCCAACUCCUGGCCUUAAGCAAUCCUUUCACCUUGGCCUCCCAAAGUGCUGGGAUUACAGGCAUGAGCUUCUUAAAUGUCUAUCUUAGAGGAGCUCUAAGAACAUACUUUAUACAUGUAUUAUUCUGUUCCUUAUUAUAACUUUUUUUGUAAAGGAAAAAUAGUAACAUAAACAUAAGUUGUAAAGAUUUCCUUAACCAAGCCUCCCUAGCACUUCUCUCCCAGUACCAUUUCCCUUGCAGAAGAUCCUAGGAAUAUUUCUGAAGUUCUAUAGCUGAUUUGAAUAUUUGCAAGAGAGUAAAUAAAUAACUAAUAAAUGCUUAAGAUUGUAUAUAAAUCAUGACUUUGUUUAAAUGGCUAUACUAGUUAUCAGUAGUUACUUUGUAAAAUGCACAAUGUGCAUUCGGUUACUAGCAGAAGUAACCUCUGACACUGGUUUCUGCAUAUUGGUUAGCGAUCCCCCCCACACACACUUGGAACUUGGUCAGUUCAUCUAGCUGAGGUACGGACAAAAUAGGGAAACCGGUUGGUGAUUAUCUUUUGGUUACUGUUAAAAAUGAAAAUUCACUGGUAUUGAGAUUAUUCACAUCUUCCAUGCUAUCCAUUUAUAUACUGAGAUAAGGAGAGGUUAUUAAUGGGUGACUUAAGAUUUAGAUGGAAAACAUUUUUGUUGUUUUAGGUCUACCUGGUAAUCAGUAAUUAAUAGCAGAGUGAUUUAAGUUGCUUAAAUCACUUAAGAUGAUGUUCUGUAGAUGUGUUUGUAAUGAACAAAAUUUUAUAUACAUUGAACCUUAUUUGGGACCCUCGCUUACCUCUUUGAGGGUUUGGAAGUGUAUAAAGUGUCAGAUUUUCUGUUUGGUAUUAAGUGUCUUUAUAUCUCCAUGACGACCUGUGAAGAAAGUAAUGGCUUUACUCAUAUUUUAUGUGAGGGUCCAGAGGGUCAGUGAGAUUUAAACAGGUCCAAGGAGAAACAGCACAACCAGUCUUGGCAAGAGUAUCUGACACCAGUGCCACAUGAUCUAUAAAUGGAGGAAUGAAGACAAUUAUGAAAGAAAAAUAGAAACUUCUAAGAAGUAGGAGAGAAAUUGUAAUAUUAGGGUAAAAUUAUUUUCGUACCUGAAACUUAAUAUCUUCUGUAGGCCAUAAAUAGCUUUUGAUAUUCACCACAAUCCUGUCAGAUACUAUGGCAGAGAUUAUUCUCACUUUACAGGUGAGGGCACUGAGGGCUGAGGAGAGAUACAUGCCCAGAGUCACAAAGCUAUUAUCAUCAGCACUAGGUUAAGGAAAAAACCCAGGUCUUCUGACCCUCUUUCAGGGGCCUGUUUCUAAGCUUAUAGUGGAGGGCAGUUCUAACAGUGGUUCUCAACUCUGCUUGCAUUAUUUUUCCUAGAGAGCUUUGGAAAAAUACUAAUGUCUGAGCCACAUCCUCAAGGAUCCUCAUUUAAUGAGUCUCAGGACCUAUAUAUAAAUCAGUGUUUUAUUUAGAAGGAACAUUUUACAAUGAUAACAGAUACGUGGAAUGCAGAGAUUUAAGCAGGACUAUCAUUGAGUGGUGAGAGUGCCAUGACAGAGGCUGUGGAAAGUUUCAGACUGCCAGAAUGGAAGAUUUCACCUGUGGUGACGUGCAUAUUAAACUAGGCUUUCCUUACUUGCCCUGGCACCAGGGAGACUGUGAGCAUGUUGUCAUUACUGACAAAAAGUAGUCAUCGUUGCAACUUGGCUUGGGAAUGGCAAAAAUAAGUGUCUGCUUUCCAUGCAAUUAGCAACUCUCUGUAUCCAUUUGCAUCCUCUAUUCAUUUUUUGGGAUAUCUUUAAGAAAUACUUUACUAUUUAUUAGAGGGUUAAAAUCUGUAAAUACUUUUAAAAGUAUCUCCAUUUUUAUAUUAAACAGCUGUUAUUCAGGUACUAGUCACCCACUGUGUAUAUAAUACAGGUUCUUUGCUUUACCUGUUUGCAACUGUGUUUCUAGGCUUGUCUUUUUGGCAAAAUUUGAAGGAGAUAACAAAGAACUAGGGAAAGAGAAGAGUAAUUUUAAUAUUUGACAAGUGUGAAGUCUUAAUUCUUUGAUAGAAAGCUUUAAAUUGGGAAGGAGCUAAGAUAGUCUAGAAUAAGAUUUGUGGAUUAAUUAGUAACCAGUCUCCACAAUUUUAUAUCCAUGCACUGCUUCUCAGAGAGCUAUGAGAAGAAGUAGAAGCACUUCACCCAAAGAGUAAAACCGGGAACAAGAAAGACAUGGGACACCACACAGAGUAGAUUAAACAGACACAAAGGGGAUCUGAGGAUGAUGGGAAAGGGAAAUCCUGAUAUGAGAACUGUCUACAGACCUGGAGAAUAGUUUAAUGCAGAGACGAGCCAGGAGCACAGAGAGUGCAGAGCCCCUGCCGCCAGUGCGUGGUGGCCCGACUCUCUGAGGGUCCUUUCCUCCCGUUGCUGCUGGGCCUGAGCGCAGUGUCCCCCACGCUCCCGCCUCAGCCUGCAGCCGGGAACCUGCCUCUGUGAAGUUCAAGGCCCUCUCUAGGCGCUCUUUUUAGCACUUUGCACAGGACGGGUAUGUUAGCCUGCCCAGCACAGCUGAUGGCAAAACAAAGCGAGAUGCUCUGGAGGGCCCUGGCAGCUCGCAGGAUGACGGGUGUGUUUAUUCUGAGAUGCCUGGGGUACUUGCCAUGCCCGCUUUUUAAAUUUUCUAAACCAAAGUCGAGCAGGCUCAAGCCCCAGCCACCUAGAUUACUGGGAGGGCCAAAAGUACACUUUACCUGCCUCGCCCUCCCCGGCAUCCUCACUCCAGCCACGGCUUCUGCAGGCCAAGGUCGCUGGCGGGGCCUCAAAAUGUGGAGAGUCGUCAUAAUCCAUUCAAGGGCUGCUUGGUUGAGUGCCCCUAAUUGUCGCUCCUGCACCCUGUCAUUGCUCCUGCGGGGCCUGCCUGUUCCUCUGACCCCAGGGUCCAUCAGCCGCCAGCUGCCAAUCCCCUCGGCACCCAAACUUCACCCACAGACACACAGCCCUUGCCUAGGCCACCUCACGCCAUGUGGGGGGAGCGUGGGGCCCUUCCUCAGUCCUCCCCUGGGUCUCUGUGGUGGAGUCCCUCCUGCCCUGCAGAUGUGGGCAAGACAGUCCCCACUUCAUAUGUCCUGGAGGCCCAGAAGCAGCAAUGAGGGCCCAGUGACACCCUAAGUUCCUGUGGCCCUGAUUUGUGGGGUCUGAGCUGUGUCUUGAUCACUUUCCCCCCACCCAGCCCUGCACCUGCCCCCGCCUUUGCGCGUGAAGGUGGCGCCUCUUCCCCUGUCUUCCCCACUGCAGGCAGGAGGCAGGGAUGUUGGAAGCUGCAGUGAACUUGGCAAGACUGAGUGGGAAUGAGGACUGCGCUCCAAGGUGCCCUUCCCCAGAUGGGCUGGAGCCUCCCCUCAGAUGUUAGGGUGUCCUGUCUGGUACCUGCUUGCGCAGCACUAUCCCCCAGGCAUUAACUCCGUGCGACAGCCUGGAGCCCUGGGGGGUGGCCGUGUUACUGUAAGUCACGGGGGUUGGGGGGGUGCGCUGACUUGCUGGUGGAGGGCGGGGGCACCAACCACGUCUCCCUUCCCAGCUCCACCCACUCUAUUCUAAGGCUGGGUCUGCAGCCAUCCUUCCCCCAGUGCAAACAGCUGACCUGGAAGGUUCUUGAAGCAAGUCCAGAUGCCCGUUCUGAAGCACUGCAGCAUCUGCCGCCGUCCCACAGAUCUCCCUGCCUGAGGUCCUCCUUCCAGAGUUGCCCCCUUCUGCAGGGAGCCACACCCGGGACUUGUGGUUCUCAAAGCUGGGGGCCCCAAGGUCAAAUUACUUUCCUGAUAAUGCUAAGGUGAUAUUUGCCUUGUCACUUUCAUUCUCUCACAGAGUACACAGUGUUCAUUGAUAACGUUUCAGAUUCCUUAUUACAACUAACCUUUAAGAAACUACCUCUUGUCAAGUUUUGGUAUAGUAUCAAAGAGGAACAUCCAUAAUUAUGUAAAGUCAUUGAAAUAUUACUUCCCUUCCCAACCCUGUACCUGUGCGAGGCCAGAAUUCAUCUAUAUGCUUCAACCAAAACAAAACAAAAAAACCAGAUCAAACAGAAAAGCAGAUGAGAAUCUUCCUGUAUUCUACAAGCUACACAUUAAAGAGAUUUACAAAAUUGUAAGUUUUUUUGAAAAUAUAGUCCUCCCUUAGUAUGCUCGAGGGGUUGGUUCCAGGACCCCCUUCCACCUCGAGGACACCAAAAUCUCCAGAUGCUGGAGUUCCCUGUCUGUCCUGUGAGUCAACCAACCGCAGAGCGACGGCGGCACCCCUGGGUGCAGACCGGGGUGCAGAGGGCGACCGUGUGAUGACUUUUGAUGGAAAUGUAUCAUUUACGUUAAAAUGUGAUGCUUUUAUUGUCAUUUUCAAAUGUUAAUAAAUAUUUCUACAAUUUCUUAGGUUUUGUUUCUAAUAAUAACCCACAUAUACAAAAGCUCUUUGGAGUCCUCAGUAGUUUUAAGAGCAUAAGGGGGUCUUCAGAUUUAAAAGUUUGAGAACCACCAUACUAGACAAAAGUCAAAUGCCUCUCUCCUAGGGCAGGAGUUUUGUUCCAGAAGAUACCAAUUUAGGACAGUCCAUGAGUGUUGCAAAGGUGGUGCCCUGCCCUCUGGCCGCCCCAGUGCUUGAGCCGGGGCCUGUCCAAGGCAUGGGCAGGAGGGUGUGCUCAGGCCCAGGACACUGGUGUCAGGGACCACGGGAGUGGACCCUGCGUUCUCCACGAAGGGCUUCAGGGUCUAAGACUGGGCUGUAUGAGUUUUCCUUACUGUGUCUCCUCAGCAUUUUCUUGGGUAUCACAGAAAAACCCUAAUAAGGACUACCAUCAGAUUCCUGUAGGAGCUUCCAAGCUCCUCAUCCUGGGACAGUUGUAGCGCUCCAAUCGGCAGGGACUCCGGAGACAGGCUCAGCUCCACACUCUGGGUCACAGCCACUGUCUCAAAAACCUGUUGCCUCCAACUCCAGGGCUAUAAGGUGAGGCACUAGCAGAAGCCCUCAUGCCCCUCCCUGGUUCAUGGCAUUUUACUCAGGCUUGGUAAUGUUUCCAUUCUCUUAUGCGGCUGUAAUUUUUCCAGAUGUUUAAUUGUGCUUCAGUAUUUAAGUGGAUCAAUUCAGUGCUCAGGGCUAUACUUUCCCCAUUCUGGAGUUUCUUAUUUUGAUUAAUCUCUUGAUUGGCUGCAUUUCAUCAUUAAGUAGUUUUUCCCAGAAGGCUCAUGACUGCUGUAUACCUUGAGAUAGUUCGCACUUGAGAAGAUCUCUCUGUUGCCUUUAUACUCAAAUGAUGACUUUUCUGGGUCUAGUAGUGUGGGGUCACUCUUCUUAAAAGUGCAUGAACAUUGAUGAGUUGAUGCCUGCCGACAUGAAAUGCUGUGGUGGAGGAGUCUGAGGCCAGCCUGGUUUUUACAGAUAACUUGUUUUUUCUGGUUGGAUACCUGAAAACAUCUUUCUUCAUCCUCAAAGUUCAAUACCUUAGCCAGAAUGGGUCUCAUUGCCUAUUGCUCUAUAUCAGACUUCCUUGUCAUGUUUUUUCUUUCUUUCUUUGGUUUCUUUCUA